GAGAAGAAGCAAACAGCAAGCAAUCAGACAAUCAGGGAAUCCUGAACACCUGCUUGGACCUUUCACUGUCACACACACAGAGGUGAAGGAGUCAGAAGAAAGAUGCUGCUGCGGCUGCAGGUGUACGAAGUCCACCAAGCUGCAGAUUUGACUGCUUCUGACAUCCUGGACUUGGACCUUUGAAGAGACCCGACUACCAGAGGACUCCCUGAGACCUGAGGGCAAAUCAAAGUCCUGAGUACUGUAGUGGAAAAAUACUGUGCUUACUUCUGCUGUUUAUUUGUGACCGUACAUAACCUCAGUCACACUGACUUGCUUUGCAACAGAUGUUUGUGUGUCAGAUGGACGAGAGCAUCAUGUAGGUGCGCUACAGUGAAAUAACAAUGAGUGCUAACUCAUAGAUAACACUAACACAAGAUCAAAAGAUCAUCUAUUAUCUGCAAUAAAAUACACAAAUACAAA